UACGUAGGGGGCAAGCGUUGUCCGGAAUUAUUGGGCGUAAAGGGCGCGUAGGCGGCCAUUCAAGUGACGGGUGAAAUCCCUCGGCUUAACCGAGGAACUGCCUGUCAGACUGGAUGGCUUGAGACCGGGAGAGGUGAGUGGAAUUCCCAGUGUAGCGGUGAAAUGCGUAGAUAUUGGGAGGAACACCAGUGGCGAAGGCGGCUCACUGGACCGGAACUGACGCUGAGGCGCGAAAGCGUGGGGAGCAAACAGG
rnacentral:rRNA from 1 species